GGGAAGGUGGCUCAGUGGUAGAGCACUUGCCUUGCAUGCAUGAGGUCCUGGGUUCCUCAGCUCUUCAG
rnacentral:tRNA from 1 species